rnacentral:lncRNA from 1 species
UCAUGAGAUCAUAUCUAAACAUGCUUAAUAACUCCAGAAAUUGCUUUCUUUGUAACACAUAUAUGUGAGUGUUCGUUUUCAUGUUUACAUCAAUCUUCUCACAUAUAACUAGUGUAGGGUGUGUAGUCAGAAAAUGUGUGAAAAUAGAGAGUAUCUUGUAAGGAAUUGAGCAAAUUCUCUAAGGCAUGUUACUACAUUCAAAACAUCAUUUUAAUUGGUUAAAUGUGAACUAAUAAGUGGUGACUGUAAUUAAGUAUGUGCUCAAGUGUGAAGAUAACUAAAAUCUGUGGGAAUAAUGAUUUUUAACAU